AGAACAGAUGACACUUGUGACUCCAAAACAAAUGAAACUUGUUCUUUUUCCCUCUCAAUAACAUCUCUAUUCAUGGCUCUUAUAAGUUUUCACAUGUUGUAGUCAGAUGGAUUUAACUGGGAUUUUCACCAACAAACUUGUACAUUGUUGUGAACUAGAAGAAAAGGAAUACAAGGUUUUUAAAAAUGUUUUUCAAAAUUAAAUUCACCUCCAUUUACUCUGAUGUUCCCAAAAUUAAAUCCAGAGCAAGUUUCAGAACUCAUCUAUGUUGCAAAAAGACCGAGGCACAUAGCAGGUCAGGAAUAAAGCUGUGGAGGAGUUUUUAAAAACAACAUCCCAAUCUCUGAAUCUCUCAGAGCUUUGCUCAAUCAUCUAGACAGAGCACGGCAUCUUAAAUUGGGCAUCAACAUAAACUUAGAGGCUUAGCAAGAAGAGCUUCAUUAAGAGAAACAGAAACUGAUUUUUUUUAGCCUAUAUACAAAAUCCCUGCUGUACGUAGGGAAAAUAAACACUGCACGUCGCAGGGAAUAAAGUGUUAGAUGCUACGGAAGAUUUAGUUCUGCAGGGAAGCUUUUGAAGAAGUACCCAGAACUACAACAGAGUGGUUUAGAUCAAAGCAUGUUCAUAGUUCUUGUCAAAGUACAGACACAACGGGCAACAAUUUCAGCUCCAAUGUGCAAAUUGAUGAAGAUAUACCCCAAAAGUACCUGUGGCUAUUAUGUUAGCAAUAGGUCAGUGUUCAUUUAUUUUUCAACAGUGAGUGGAAAACAAAUGGACCUCACAGUAUUUGGAUUUUUAUAUGUUAAAAAAUUGACACAGCCAUGUACAUUUGUUUAUUCCCUACACAAUUAUGGACUAUGCUUUGUGUUUUUCUUCACACAUGAAAUCCAAACAAAAUGCAGGCAAGUUUGUGGUUUUUAAUGUUAUGAAAAGUGCCGCGUCCUGCGUGCAAUACAGACACCUCAGUCUGCCGUGUUCGCACCUUUAAGUAGCAAAAGGAAAAAAAAAAAAAAGAAAGUCAAACAUCACUUAGUUUUACUUUCCUUAAAAACAAUAUUAACCAAGCGCCUCAGCACUUGCCCUUAGAAGGAAUCAACAGAACAAGAAGAGACAAGACUGCUCAGACCAGCCUUGAACCGCAGGUGAUCCAGAGAAAAUGUGUUUUGGUUUGCCGACACGCAGCCAUGACGACAACAAACGUUUAUACUUAAGAACUUAAGCUUCUAGUUAUGGUUCUACUCUGCAUCCCGACUACACCCAGUUUCACCGAUUACCCUUAGAAAACGGCAAAGUGAGACUGCAGCAUGUCAUUCAUUUCUCAGUAUUUAUUUUUGCUUCCUCAUAGAUCGUUGUGAUGCGUCCGAUUGCUUCAGAGUCGUAAGUUGAGAUCCAAGGUAUUCAUUUGAAAAGAUCACUUAAAAACUGCAUUCCAAAGGUUUCUGGUGAAGAUUUAAUUUGUUUUUAUCUAUUCUAAAUUAAAGAUCUCCAUAUUAAUAGUAAGUAUAAUAUAUUCUGCAGAGGUAUGUUGCCAUUUUAAAGCUCUGGCAUGUGGCUGCAUUUCUUUUACUUCAACUCCUUUUACAUAGUAAGCUUGAUCAGAUUCAUACAUCUUAUUAAAAUCUGUAAAAGACUUUCAAGCCAAACCUUGUAUAUAAAUUCUCUUGAGAGGGUUUGAGAAAGACAACAUACUCAGCAAUAAAAUCCCUUUGACAUGUUUAUUUGUUGCUGUAUCUUAUGGGCUUUGAGGAAUUAAUACCACCAAUAAAUUUCACUGAGAAUAAAAAAGAAAAAGAAAAAAUGGCAAAAAAUAUGAUGCGACAAGUCAGAUGUUCACACUUCAGAGCUAUUAUUACAAGGUUUUGAAAUCAGACCAAUUUUAAUUAAAUUAACUGAACUAAUAAUGCAGUGGUGAAUAAUGUAAGACGACUAUGUUGAUUUUAAUUGCCUAAAACAUUCAAUAAAUCAGUUUUAGCAGCAGUGGAGAAAGCUGCAUUUCUGGGAAUGAAUUUUUGUUUCCUUCAUUCUCACAGCAGAACAUCCAUAUACCUCUGCCAGAACUAGAAACCAUGAAAUUUGCUUUUUAAAUUUGUUAUUUUUCCUUACAGAUAUACAAAUUCAAUGUUUCUACAAAUAUAAUUUAAGACCUAGUAUUAAUAACUUGCCUCCAUUUAAUUAGAAUUAUUAUUCUAAUCUACUCAAUUUAGAAAGGUCUCAAUAUGAGACAAACCUCACAAAGUCCAGCCUGAGCAAGAAACCAGGAUUAAAAACUGAGAGACGUUUUGUUUCACUAAAGAUCUGAGCUGUUAUUACGAGAAAGAAAAAGUCAUGCAACUGAAGGAAGGAAAUUGGGUGGUAAAACUGAAAAUGAUGUGGGUUUAACAGUCUCUUAUGGUGAAAUGAUCAACACGGAAAUAGUGGUUGACCACACUGGUCUCUGGGUGUGAGAGGAAGAGAAACGAAGAAGGGUAAAAACUGCAUCAUGAUUU